AACACAGGAAAAGUUGUGCCAAGCAGAAACCAAAUCCACAGGAGGGUUUGUGCUGAGCAGCAAUUAUCUAAAUGGGAACUUGGUAACUGCCUUUGGGGUCAAAGGCCGGUUAUAGCCUAUCAGAUCUAGAGGAGGGGUAUUUAGGCCAAGUUCUCACCCUGCUCAGUGCCCUGUCAUGAUUUCCCUUGUGGUUGUCCGAGUGCACAUUAUUGAUUCUGGUUAUUCUGGUAUUUUGACUUUGGCAUUGAUUUUGACUUCCCUGUUUUCUGGCAUCCCUGACCCCUGGCUUUUCCUUAUCGUUGUGUCUCUUUCAGUAUCCCUUAACCUCGGCUAUUCCUGACUAUUCUUUGGUACGCUAGUCCAGCCAUUCUAAGGUCCGUUAUACGUUACCUAUUAGUAAUGAAUGAAACUCCGACCCUAUUCGUGCUGUGGCUGCAUCUUGCAGCCGCUUAGUAGAUAACUCCCUAAUUCCCACGUUAUUAGGGAUCU